GCGGCGGCAACAAUGAACGCCUUAGAGGAAGAGAGCUUGGCGCUGUGCUCCUCUUCCGCUUCUGAUGCAGAAUUUGAUGCUGUGGUUGGAUAUUUAGAGGAUAUUAUCAUGGAUGAUAAGUUCCAGUUGUUACAGAGAAGUUUCAUGGACAAGUACUACCAGGAAUUUGAAGACACAGAAGAGAAUAAACUUACCUACACCCCUAUUUUUAAUGAAUAUAUUUCUUUGGUAGAAAAGUAUAUCGAAGAACAGCUGCUGGAGCGGAUUCCUGGAUUCAACAUGGCAGCUUUCACAGCAACGUUACAGCAUCAUAGAGAUGAAGUGGCUGGUGAUAUAUUCCACAUGCUGCUCACAUUCAUGGAUUUUCUGGCUUUUAAAGAAAUGUUCCUGGCCUACAAAGCAGAAAAAGAAGGCGGGGGACUGGACUUAAGCAGUGGUUUAGUGGUGACUUCGUUGUGCAAAUCAUCUUCUAUGCCAGGUUCCCAGAACAAUUUAUGGCACUAGGUCCUACCUCCAGCCAAGGAAUAGGAUCGUUCCAGAUGUCACUGGCCCAGUAGGCCAAUAGGCUCAGCUAAUGAUGACAAAAGAAUACAUCUUGGAAGGACUGACUGUUUUGCAACUUUUCAUUCCUGUUAAGUAUUGAUGGGUCAAAAAUAAAAUGACCUGACUCUCUUAGACCUAUUUCUCCGAAACACCUUCUUGUAUUCAUGAACCUUAGGACUCCUCCCUGCGUACAUUA